rnacentral:rRNA from 1 species
UACAGAGGGUGCGAGCGUUGUCCGGAAUCACUGGGCGUAAAGGGCGCGUAGGCGGCGCGGUAAGCGUGCGGUGAAAGCCCGGGGCUCAACCCCGGGUCGGCCGUGCGGACUGCCGGGCUGGAGCACUGUAGAGGCAGGUGGGAAUUCCGGGUGUAGCGGUGGAAUGCGUAGAUAUCGGGAGGAACACCAGUGGCGAAGGCGGUUGCCUGGAGCUUUGCUGACGCUGAUGCGCGAAAGCGUGGGGAGCGAGUCCGG